GCUGUGGGAUAGCUCAGUCAGUAGAGCAUGAGGCUCUUAAUCUCAAGGCCGUGGGUUUGAGCCCCACAUAGGGCA